rnacentral:rRNA from 1 species
UGAAUACGAGACGCUAAGGCGUCGAAGUAGUGUAUGUCAUACUUCCAAGAAAAGCUUGCACUGUCAUAGAUAAAAAACGCCUGUACCAUAACCAACACAGGUGGGUAGGUAGAGUAUACUAAGGGGCGCGAGAUAACUCUCUCAAAGGAACUCGGCAAAAUAACUCCGUAACUUCGGGAGAAGGAGUGCCUUAUUCGUAAGGUUGCAAUAACAAGAUCCAAGCAACUGUUUAUCAAAAACACAGGUCUCCGCUAAGUCGUAAGACGAUGUAUGGGGGCUGACGCCUGCCCAGUGCCAGAAGGUUAAAGAAGUUGGUUAGCAAUUGCGAAGCUGAUAACUGAAGCCCUGGUGAACGGCGGCCGUAACGAUAACGGUCCUAAGGUAGCGAAAUUCCUUGUCGGGUAAGUUCCGACCCGCACGAAAGGCGUAAUGAUUUGGAUACUGUCUCGGAGAGGGGCUCGGUGAAAUAGACUUGUCUGUGAAGAUGCGGACUACCUGCACCAGGACAGAAAGACCCUAUGAAGCUUUACUGUAACUUGAAAUUGAAAUUGGACUUUAUUCGCGCAGCAUAGGUGGGAGGCGUUGAUUAUAAUCUUGCGGGAUUAUUGGAGCCAUCAGUGAGAUACCACUCUUGUAAUGUUAGAUUUCUAACUUUGAAUCAUUAUCUGGUCAAAGAACAGUUUCAGGCGGGCAGUUUGACUGGGGCGGUCGCCUCCUAAACGGUAACGGAGGCGUACAAAGGUUUCCUCUGAACGGUUAGAAAUCGUAUCUAGAGUGUAAAGGCAUAAGGAAGCUUGACUGUGAGACCUACAAGUCGAGCAGGGACGAAAGUCGGUCUUAGUGAUCUGACGGUACUGAGUGGAAAGGCCGUCACUCAACGGAUAAAAGUUACUCUAAGGAUAACAGGCUGAUCUCCCCCAAGAGUUCACAUCGACGGGGAGGUUUGGCACCUCGAUGUCGGCUCAUCGCAUCCUGGGGCGGUAGUACGUCCCAAGGGUUGGGCUGUUCGCCCAUGAAAGCGGUACGCGAGCUGGGUUCAGAACGUCGUGAGACAGUUCGGUCCAUAUCCGGUGUAGGCGUUAGAAUAUUGAGAGGAGCCUUCUUUAGUACGAGAGGACCGAGAAGGACAUACCUCUGGUGUACCAGUUAUCGUGCCAACGGUAAACGCUGGGUAGCUAUGUAUGGAGUGGAUAACCGCUGAAAGCAUCUAAGUGGGAAGCCCACCUCAAGAUAAGUAUUCUCAUC